CGGUGGAGCAUGUGGUUUAAUUCGAAGCAACGCGAAGUAACCUUACCAGGUCUUGACAUCCCGAUGCUUAUUUCUAGAGAUAGAAAGUUACUUCGGUACAUCGGUGACAGGUGGUGCAUGGUUGUCGUCAGCUCGUGUCGUGAGAUGUUGGGUUAAGUCCCGCAACGAGCGCAACCCCUAUUGUUAGUUGCCAUCAUUCAGUUGGGCACUCUAGCGAGACUGCCGGUAAUAAACCGGAGGAAGGUGGGAUGACGUCAAAUCAUCAUGCCCCUUAUGACCUGGGCUACACACGUGCUACAAUGGUUGGUACAACGAGUUGCGAGUCGGUGACGGCGAGCUAAUCUCUUAAAGCCAAUCUCAGUUCGGAUUGUAGGCUGCAACUCGCCUACAUGAAGUCGGAAUCGCUAGUAGUCGCGGAUCAGCACGCCGCGGUGAAUACGUUCCCGGGCCUU
rnacentral:rRNA from 1 species